rnacentral:rRNA from 1 species
UACGUAGGGUGCAAGCGUUAAUCGGAAUUACUGGGCGUAAAGUGUGCGCAGGUGGCCGCGCAAGUCGAGUGUGAAAUCCUGUGGCUUAACCACAGGGCUGCCUCCGAGACUGUCAGGCUCGAGCACAGUAGAGGCAGGUGGAAUUCCCGGUGUAGCGGUGGAAUGCGUAGAGAUCGGGAAGAACAUCGGUGGCGAAGGCGGCCUGCUGGGCUGUUGCUGACGCUGAGGCGCGACAGCGUGGGGAGCAAACAGG